rnacentral:rRNA from 1 species
ACGGGAGGCAGCAGUGGGGAAUAUUGGGCAAUGGGCGAAAGCCUGACCCAGCGACGCCGCGUGAGGGAAGAAGAUCUUCGGAUUGUAAACCUUAGUCAACAGGGAAGAAGCAAGUGACGGUACCUGUGGAGGAAGCCACGGCUAACUACGUGCCAGCAGCCGCGGUAAUACGUAGGUGGCGAGCGUUAUCCGGAUUUACUGGGUGUAAAGGGAGCGUAGACGGCAAUGCAAGUCUGAAGUGAAAGCCCGCGGCUUAACUGCGGGACUGCUUUGGAAACUGUAUGGCUAGAGUGUCGGAGAGGUGAGUGGAAUUCCCAGUGUAGCGGUGAAAUGCGUAGAUAUUGGGAGGAACACCGGAGGCGAAGGCGGCUCACUGGACGAUUACUGACGUUGAGGCUCGAAAGCGUGGGGAGCAAACAGGAUUAGAUACCCUGGUA